UACGAAGGGGGCUAGCGUUGUCCGGAUUCAUUGGGCGUAAAGAGCUCGUAGGCGGCUUGUCAAGUCGGGUGUGAAAACUCCAGGCUCAACCUGGAGACGCCACUCGAGACUGUCAUGGCUAGAGUCCGGUAGGGGAUCACGGAAUUCCUGGUGUAGCGGUGGAAUGCGCAGAUAUCAGGAGGAACACCGGUGGCGAAGGCGGGUCUCUGGGCAGUAACUGACGCUGAGGAGCGAAAGCGUGGGGAGCGAACAGG
rnacentral:rRNA from 1 species